AACACAAAAAAUAAAAUGCUCCGCAGGGCGCAGCUUGAUACGACCGCAGAGGUCGAACCCUGAACAGUUGGGGCAAGUAUGGACACAACAUUCAAGCUUGAUACAGCUCUGAAUUUGGAUUGUGAUUAAAUAUUUGACACAGCAUAGGUUUCUGACACAGAAAGAAUGUGGUCUAAGAACUUGAAUUUUUUUUAAUUUACCUAUUAUGGUCCAAUGUCUAAAAUCAAAAUACAUGGUUAGAUUCAGCAUAUCAAAGAACCCCAUAUAUUCAAUUUUUGUUGAAAUCAAACAAAGUUUAAUUUUGGACCCCAACUUGGACAAACUUGAAAACUGGGCCCAUAAUCAAAAAUCUAAACACAUGUUUAGAUUCAGCAUAUCAAAGAACCCCAAGAAUUCAAUUUUUGUUAAAAUCAAACUAAAGUUUAAUUUUGGACCCUUUGGACCUUAAUGUAGACCAAUUUAAAAAACAGGACCCAAAAUUAAAAAUCUAAAUACACGGUUAGAUUUGGCAUAUCAAAGAACCCCAAUAAUUCAAUUUUUGAUGAAAUCAAACGAAGUUUAAUUUUGGACCCUUUUGACCUCAAUAUGAACCAAUUUGAUAGCGGGGUCCACAAAUAAAAAAUCUAAAUACAUGGUUAGAUUCAGCAUAUCAAAGAACCCCAUAUAUUCAAUUUUUGUUGAAAUCAAACAAAGUUUAAUUUUGGACCCCAAUUUGGACCAACUUGAAAACUGGACCAAAAAUCAAAAAUCUAAAUACAUGUUUAGAUUCAGCAUAUCAAAGAACCCCAUAUAUUCAAUUUUUGUUAAAAUCAAACAAAGUUUAAUUUUGGACCCUUUGGACCUUAAUGUAGGCCAAUUUGAAAACUGGACCCAAAAUUAAAAAUCUAAAUACACGGUUAGAUUCGGCAUAACAAAUAAAUAAAUGUGGUCAAAGAUUUUACAAAUCUAAUGCGCCAUACUGUGCAAUUAAAGAUUACUUCUUGAAAUUUUUG